rnacentral:rRNA from 1 species
CGUAGGGUGCAAGCGUUGUCCGGAAUUAUUGGGCGUAAAGAGCUCGUAGGCGGUCUGUCGCGUCGGCUGUGAAAACCCGAGGCUCAACCUCGGGCCUGCAGUCGAUACGGGCAGACUGGAGUACUGCAGGGGAGACUGGAAUUCCUGGUGUAGCGGUGAAAUGCGCAGAUAUCAGGAGGAACACCGGUGGCGAAGGCGGGUCUCUGGGCAGUUACUGACGCUGAGGAGCGAAAGCGUGGGGAGCGAACAGGAUUAGAUACCCUGGUAGUCCACGCCGUAAACGUUGGGCGCUAGGUGUGGGGGCCAUUCCACGGUCUCCGUGCCGCAGCUAACGCAUUAAGCGCCCCGCCUGGGGAGUACGGCCGCAAGGCUAAAACUCAAAGGAAUUGACGGGGGCCCGCACAAGCGGCGGAGCAUGUUGCUUAAUUCGAUGCAACGCGAAGAACCUUACCUAGGCUUGACAUGCACGGAAAUCUCGUAGAGAUACGGGGUGCCUUUGGCGUCGUGCACAGGUGGUGCAUGGUUGUCGUCAGCUCGUGUCGUGAGAUGUUGGGUUAAGUCCCGCAACGAGCGCAACCCUCGUUCUAUGUUGCCAGCACGUGAUGGUGGGGACUCAUAGGAGACUGCCGGGGUCAACUCGGAGGAAGGUGGGGAUGACGUCAAAUCAUCAUGCCCCUUAUGUCUAGGGCUGCAAACAUGCUACAAUGGCCGGUACAAAGGGCUGCGAUACCGCGAGGUGGAGCGAAUCCCAAAAAGCCGGUCUCAGUUCGGAUUGGGGUCUGCAACUCGACCCCAUGAAGUUGGAGUCGCUAGUAAUCGCAGAUCAGCAACGCUGCGGUGAAUACGUUCCCGGGCCUUGUACACACCGCCCGUCACGUCACGAAAGUCGGUAACGCCCGAAGCCGGUGGC